rnacentral:tRNA from 1 species
AUCUAAAUAGUUUAAGAGGAAAAUAUUGGUUUGUGGUGCCGAUGAUAUAGAGUUGUAUUUUAGAUU